rnacentral:rRNA from 1 species
AUAGAUCCGUAACUUCGGGAAAAGGAUUGGCUCUAAGGGUUGGGUACGUCGGGCCUUAGUAAGAAGCCCUGGGACCCGGUUGGGACUGCUUUGGGGGCAACCUCAUCGUGGACCCGGCCAGGACCUGGCGGUGGACGACUUUGGCUGCCUUUCGGGGCGUCUGGCGUACGCUUAACAACCAACUUAGAACUGGUACGG